UAGGGAAUCUUCCGCAAUGGGCGAAAGCCUGACGGAGCAACGCCGCGUGAGUGAUGAAGGUCUUCGGACCGUAAAACUCUGUUAUCAGGGAAGAACAAAUGUGUAAGUAACUAUGCACGUUUUGACGGUACCUAAUCAGAAAGCCACGGCUAACUACGUGCCAGCAGCCGCGGUAAUACGUAGGUGGCAAGCGUUAUCCGGAAUUAUUGGGCGUAAAGCGCGCGUAGGCGGUUUUUUAAGUCUGAUUUGAAAGCCCACGGCUAAACCGUGGAGAGUCAUUGGCAUCUGGAAGACUUGAGUGCAGAAGAGGAAAGUGGAAUUCCAUGUGUAGCGGUGAAAUGCGCAGAGGUAUGGAGGAACACCAGUGGCGAAAGCGACUUUCUGGUCUGUAACUGACGCUGAUGUGCGCAAGCGUGGGGAUCAAACAGG
rnacentral:rRNA from 1 species